GACGAACGCUGGCGGCGUGCUUAACACAUGCAAGUCGAACGAUGAACCCGGAGCUUGCUCCGGUGGAUUAGUGGCGAACGGGUGAGUAACACGUGAGUAACCUGCCCUUGACUCUGGAAUAACUGCGGGAAACUGUAGCUAAUACCGGAUACGACCCUCGGCGGCAUCGCCAGGGGGUGGAAAGAAUUUCGGUCAAGGAUGGACUCGCGGCGGAUCAGCUAGUUGGUGAGGUAACGGCUCGCCAAGGCGACGACGGGUAGCCGGCCUGAGAGGGUGACCGGCCACACUGGGACUGAGACACGGCCCAGACUCCUACGGGAGGCAGCAGUGGGGAAUAUUGCACAAUGGGCGCAAGCCUGAUGCAGCAACGCCGCGUGAGGGAUGACGGCCUUCGGGUUGUAAACCUCUUUUAGUAGGGAAGAAGCGAAAGUGACGGUACCUGCAGAAAAAGCACCGGCUAACUACGUGCCAGCCGCCGCAGUAA
rnacentral:rRNA from 1 species